GAUGAACGCUGGCGGCGUGCCUAAUACAUGCAAGUCGAGCGAACAGACGAGGAGCUUGCUCCUCUGACGUUAGCGGCGGACGGGUGAGUAGCACGUGGAUAACCUACCUAUAAGACUGGGAUAACUUCGGGAAACCGGAGCUAAUACCGGAUAAUAUAUUGAACCGCAUGGUUCAAUAGUGAAAGACGGUUUUGCUGCCACUUAUAGAUGGAUCCGCGCCGCAUUAGCUAGUUGGUAAGGUAACGGCUUACCAAGGCGACGAUGCGUAGCCGACCUGAGAGGGUGAUCGGCCACACUGGAACUGAGACACGGUCCAGACUCCUACGGGAGGCAGCAGUAGGGAAUCUUCCGCAAUGGGCGAAAGCCUGACGGAGCAACGCCGCGUGAGUGAUGAAGGUCUUCGGAUCGUAAAACUCUGUUAUUAGGGAAGAACAAAUGUGUAAGUAACUAUGCACGUCUUGACGGUACCUAAUCAGAAAGCCACGGCUAACUACGUG
rnacentral:rRNA from 1 species